UCUUGGCUAAGGUGUCUUGGCUAAUGUGUCUUGGCUAUUGUGUCUCGGCUAAGGUGUCUUGGCUAAUGUAUCUUGGCUAAGGUGUCUUGGCUAAUGUGUCUUGGCUAAUGUGUCUUGGCUAAUGUGUCUUGGCUAAGGUGUCUCGGCUAAUGUGUCUUGGCUAAUGUGUCUUGGCUAAGGUGUCUUGGCUAAUGUGUCUUGGCUAAUGUGUCUCGGCUAAUGUGUCUUGGCUAAGGUGUCUUGGCUAAUGUGUCUUGGCUAAAGUGUCUCGGCUAAGGUGUCUUGGCUAAUGUGUCUUGGCUAAUGUGUCUUGGCUAAGGUGUCUUGGCUAAAGUGUCUUGGCUAAUGUGUCUCGGCUAAUGUGUCUUGGCUAAUGUGUCUUGGCUUAUGUGUCUUGGCUAAUGUGUCUCGGCUAAUGUGUCUUGGCUAAUGUGUCUUGGCUAAGGUGUCUUGGCUAAUGUGUCUUGGCUAAUGUGUCUUGGCUAAGGUGUCUUGGCUAAUGUGUCUUGGCUAAUGUGUCUUGGCUAAUGUGUCUUGGCUGAGGUGUCUUGGCUAAGGUGUCUUGGCUAAGGUGUCUCGGCUAAUGUGUCUUGGCUAAGGUGUCUUGGCUAAUGUGUCUUGGCUAAUGUGUCUUGGCUAAUGUGUCUUGGCUAGUGUGUCUUGGCUAAUGUGUCUUGGCUAAGGUGUCUUGGCUAAUGUGUCUUGGCUAAUGUGUCUUGGCUAAUGUGUCUUGGCUAAUGUGUCUCGGCUGAUGUGUCUUGGCUAAGGUGUCUUGGCUAAUGUGUCUUGGCUAAUGUGUCUUGGCUAAUGUGUCUUGGCUAAUGUGUCUCGGCUAAUGUGUCUUGGCUAAUGUGUCUUGGCUAAAGUGUCUUGGCUAAGGUGUCUUGGCUAAUGUGUUUUGGCUAAUGUGUCUUGGCUAAGGUGUCUUGGCUAAUGUGUCUUGGCUAAUGUGUCUUGGCUAAGGUGUCUUGGCUAAUGUGUCUUGGCUAAGGUGUCUUGGCUAAUGCGUCUUGGCUAAUGUGUCUUGGCUAAUGUGUCUUGGCUAAUGUGUCUUGGCUAAGGUGUCUUGGCUAAUGUGUCUUGGCUAAGGUGUCUUGGCUAACGUGUCUCGGCUAAUGUGUCAUGGCUAAUGUGUCUUGGCUAAUGUGUCUUGGCUAAGGUGUCUUGGCUAAGGUGUCUUGGCUAAUGUGUCUUGGCUAAGGUGUCUUGGCUAAGGUGUGUUGGCUAAUGUGUCUUGGCUAAUGUGUCUUGGCUAAGGUGUCUUGGCUAAUGUGUCUUGGCUAAGGUGUCUUGGCUAAGGUGUCUUGGCUAAUGUGUCUCGGCUUAGGUGUCUUGGCUA